rnacentral:rRNA from 1 species
UUUGGUAAUUAUGCCAUAGGAGAUACACCUGUUCCCAUGCCGAACACAGUAGUUAAGUCCUAUCGGGUCGGAAGUAGUUGAGGGUCGCCCUCUGCGAGAUAAGAUCGUUGCCAAGU